UACGGGGGUGGCAAGCGUUGUUCGGAAUUACUGGGCGUAAAGGGCUCGUAGGCGGCCAACUAAGUCAUACGUGAAAUCCCUCGGCUUAACCGGGGAACUGCGUCUGAUACUGGAUGGCUUGAGUUCGGGAGAGGGAUGCGGAAUUCCAGGUGUAGCGGUGAAAUGCGUAGAUAUCUGGAGGAACACCGGUGGCGAAGGCGGCAUCCUGGACCGAUACUGACGCUGAGGAGCGAAAGCCAGGGGAGCAAACGGG
rnacentral:rRNA from 1 species